GCCGUGCCCAGAAAUACGUCCCGGUGGGGACGGGGCCGUUGGUCAGAGGCGCCGCGGGCGAGCGGGAGGCAGCGGCAGGCAGUGGCGGGGCACGCUCUGUCCCGGUCGCUGAGGCGAGAGGUCCCCUGAGCGGGCGCGGCGCGGGCCCGGCUCUGAGGGGGCUCCUCUGAGGGGCCCCGGCCGAGCCCGCGGGGUGAUGGCGCUGGGGCUGCGCAGCCGCGCUCACCCCGGUCAGCGGCGGGAGCGGCUCCUGCGUCAGGCCCUCGGGGAGAUCGUUCAUGGCCCCGGCCCGGGGAAGACAUGAAAAGAGAAAAUGGUCGAGAAAAUAACACGAACAACCUCUUCUGGACGUGGUGGUGUCAGUCAGGGCCCUGCGUCACCGCGAGUCCGUAGAGCCCCUCUGAGGCAGACACCCCCGAGGUCGCUGCUCGGGGCAGCGAUGCAGAUUUCCCCCUGGCUGUUGUUCUGGAUGCUGGAAUUGCCUCUGUGGCCAGGUGCUGGGCUCUUGCUGCAGGGGCCUUUCAGGCCUGACUGUCUGUGCAAUAACCCCAGGAUUCCAUGGGACACUCAGGGACUGUCCCAGCUGCAGUCAGGGGGAAUGAACACCACAUCAUCCUGAUCCUGAGAGCUCCAAGGAAAUUAACCACUGAUGUGGCGCUGAGGAUGCCACAGUCCUGACACUCCUGGCCUGGAACCAUGGCCCAGCAGCUUUCUGUGGGAGCCUGAAUUACUUGUGCAGGUCAGUUCCCCCUCCAUUCCUGCAGUCUGGGCAGUUCCAAAUGUCUGAUCCCUUCCCAAGGCUCCUGCCACAGCCUAGGGAGGCUCCUGAGCACGGCUGGGCUGCGAUGGAAUCUGCUCCCAGCUCCAGCCCUUGCCCUACUGCUGCACAUCGGGCCCAGCCAGGGGAGCUGAACUAAAGCCUGGGAAUUUAAAUUUUAAGGGAAACAACCCCAAACUUCACUCACUCGAGAGUAAAAAGGUAUGCUUGUAUUUACACAUAUCCAGGAAAAACACUCCUCUAGGGAAGUCUUGGAUUUAUUUUAUCAGUUGAACUGGCAGAGCUGCCAACUGCUGCCAUUAAGUUCUCCAUCCCCAGAAGCCCUGGUGCCCUGGGCCAUGGGGUUUUUGCUCAUUAGGAGGGACCUCUGGCCACACUCACAGCCUAGGAGUGUACAAAAUCCUAUUCCUCACUUCCCUGACUAAUGAGUAUCUUAAAAUCCACUCUGGAUUGUGCAGAAAAUCUCCUUGGUCCCACUUGGAACUAGACAUAUACAGCUGACUCUAUUAGUUAUUCCAGCUGAGUAAAAUAAUUAAGAAAAAGAGAAAACAAUUAAACCAAGUAACUUGUGCCUGAAGUUUUCCUCAGGAACUAGUUGGGAGCUCACCAGCAAGGCUCCCAGACAGGUAGAGUGUCUGAUGAAAAAUAUUUAUGUGCACAUAUAAAAAAAUAUAUAAAAUAUACAUAUUUAUACACACCUAUUA